UACGAAGGGGGCUAGCGUUGUUCGGAUUAACUGGGCGUAAAGGGCGCGUAGGCGGCUUUUUAAGUCAGGGGUGAAAUCCUGGAGCUCAACUCCAGAACUGCCUUUGAUACUGAGAGCUUGAGUCCGGGAGAGGUGAGUGGAACUGCGAGUGUAGAGGUGAAAUUCGUAGAUAUUCGCAAGAACACCAGUGGCGAAGGCGGCUCACUGGCCCGGUACUGACGCUGAGGUGCGAAAGCGUGGGGAGCAAACAGG
rnacentral:rRNA from 1 species